GCAAGUCGAACGCCGCGCCAGGGGUGUUGCAGAAGGGUGUGUAACACGUGGGAACAUCGCCUUCGGUUCGGAAUAACGCCGGGAAACUGGCGCUAAUACCGGAUACUGCUUCUGGGCGCGAGAUUGAUAGCCGAAGGAUUGGCCCGCGUUCGAUUAGCUUGUUGGUGAGGUAAAGGCCGACCAAGGCGACGAUCGAUAGCUGGUCUGAGAGGAUGGAC
rnacentral:rRNA from 1 species